AGAUGAUGAAAAAAUUUCCGCUUUUUCCCGACACAAUAAAUCUGAAAAAUAUCUACAUCAUCAUCAUUGUCGAGAGCUAGAGAAUAGUGUGCGUUAUGGUAUUGUCAUCUAAUACUUCCUACAUGGAAAAUCCGAAUACGAAUACAAAUCAAUUUCCACUUAUUUUUCCGUUCGAUUUGUUCGUUCUGGUUUGAUUUGUGUUGAAACCAUGUCAAGGGUUAUCUAUAUGUUGUUGUUACAAGUUUUAUUUACGAACACAUACAGUGUCGUUUAUGAUCAUCUAGGAUCGUCCAUAAUGGAUAAAAUUAUUAUUUUGGAAAAAAAAAGAAUUUCCAUCGAUAAAACUUUGGCUUAUAUAUUAUGUUUGAUGAUUAUUAUGGUGAUUCAACACACAUAAAGCUCAAAGACAAGAAAAAAGUCAAUGCCUGUCCUAGUGAUUCUCCAAGAAAAAAGGAUUGAUUCGAAUUCGAAAACAUUUGUGGUGGUAGUGGUGGUUAUUUUCGAUGACCUUGGCAGCUGAAGAAUUUAUCUAGUUAAUAUCAACUAUAAUCUCAUCAAGAAUAUUUGUGAAAUAUUUUUGGAUCAUUGUUGUCUAUGAUAUUGGAGAAUCGAAUGUUUAAAAAAAAAAUGUCGAUCACACACAUAUCAACAACGACUAUUUGGCCUUGGAUCGUUGGAAAUUAUUUUGGCUACAAAAAAAAAUCUCAUAACAUCCCGAAGGUUAAAACGACUACGUAGCAGACUACACAGACAAUACAGAUUUUCAACAUGUAUAUUUUUUUAUUUGAUUUUGCCAAACAAUUUCCUUUUUUUUACCAUCAUAAUCAUCAUCAUCAU